GACGAACGCUGGCGGCGUGCCUAAUACAUGCAAGUAGGACGCAGUUGCGAACGGGUGAGUAACGCGUAGGUAACUGCCUAUUAGAGGGGGAUAACUAUUGGAAACGAUAGCUAAUACCGCAUACUAGUAGAUGGACCUGCGUUGUAUUAGCUAGUAGGGAGGGUAAUGGCCUACCUAGGCAACGAUACAUAGCCGAGCUGAGGGGGUGAUCCGCCACACUGGGACUGAGAAACGGCCCAGACGUCCACGGGAGGCAGCAGUAGGGAAGCAUCGGCAAUGGGGGGAACGCUGACCGAGCAACGGCGCGGGGGUGAAGAAGGUUUUCGGAUCGUAAAGCUCUGUUGUUAAGGGAGCGGUACUUAACCAGAAAGGGACGGCUAACUACGUGCCAGCAGCCGCGGUAAUAC
rnacentral:rRNA from 1 species